GGGGACUGCGUUNUGAACUGGGUGACUAGAGUGUGUCAGAGGGAGGUAGAAUNCCACGUGUAGCAGUGAAAUGCGUAGAGAUGUGGAGGAAUACCGAUGGCGAAGGCAGCNUCCUGGGAUAACACUGACGUUCAUGCUNGAAAGCGUGGGUAGCAAACAGGAUUAGAUACCCUGGUAGUCCACGCCCUAAACGAUGUCAAUUAGCUGUUGGGCAACUUGAUUGCUUAGUAGCGUAGCUAACGCGUGAAAUUGACCGCCUGGGGAGUACGGUCGCAAGAUUAAAACUCAAAGGAAUUGACGGGGACCCGCACAAGCGGUGGAUGAUGUGGAUCAAUUCGAUGCAGCGCGAAGAACCUUACCUGGUCUUGACAUGUACGGAAUCCUCCAGAGACGGAGGAGUGCCUUCGGGAGCCGUAACACAGGUGCUGCAUGGCUGUCGUCAGCUCGUGUCGUGAGAUGUUGGGUUAAGUCCCGCAACGAGCGCAACCCUUGUCAUUAGUUGCCAUCAUUUAGUUGGGCACUCUAAUGAGACUGCCGGUGACAAGCCGGAGGAAGGUGGGGAUGACGUCAAGUCCUCAUGGCCCUUAUGACCAGGGCUUCACACGUCCUACAAUGGUCGGUACAGAGGGUAGCCAAGCCGCGAGGUGGAGCCAAUCUCACAAAACCGAUCGUAGUCCGGAUUGCACUCUGCAACUCGAGUGCAUGAAGUCGGAAUCGCUAGUAAUCGCAGGUCAGCAUACUGCGGUGAAUACGUUCCCGGGUCUUGUACACACCGCCCGUCACACCAUGGGAGUGGGGGAUACCAGAAGUAGGU
rnacentral:rRNA from 1 species